rnacentral:snRNA from 1 species
GUGCUCGCUUCAGCAGCACAUAUACUAAAAUUGGAACGAUACAGAGAAGAUUAGCACGGCCCCUGCGCAAGGAUGACACACAAAUUCGUGAAGCAUUCCAUAUUUUU